rnacentral:rRNA from 1 species
AUGAUCAGUAGGAUCCUGAAGAGGGUCUGCGGCUUGUACCCUCAACACAUCGGCGUUGAUGUCGAGUAUACCAGGGAAGGCGAACCUCCGCAGAGGGCAGCGGUUCUGCAAUUAUGCAUGGAGGAACUAUGUCUGGUAUACCACAUCACCGCGACAACAAAAUGGCCCAAGAGCAUGCGCCCGUUCCUGAAGGAGGAUAGGUUCUACACCUUUGCCGGCUUCAGUAUUGAAGGUGACAAAGAGAUGUUGCGAAGAUCUGGUUUGGAGAUCAACCCCGACAAGUACAUCGACAUCCAGCGCAAAUGGAGAGCUUCGUUCAAGGGAAGAAAGAGGUUCCACUCUUUGGCUGAUGUUGCAAGGAGCGUGAUCCACCCAUUCUACAAACAGAUGAAGAAUAGGAUUGACAGGGUUGAAGACCAUAAACUGUGGGGGAUCAGCCCACGACCAAAUUACCUCAUUGAGUACGCAGCGAUAGAUGUGUACGCCACCUACGAGUCAUGGAAGAGAAUUCAAAACAUCAGAGAAGGUCUGGAGAGUGCAAAAGAGGCAGAGAAGAAUUAUUACGAUCCUUACUACGACUACUAG